CCCCCACAUUGGUACUGAGACACGGACCAAACUCCUACGGGAGGCAGCAGUGAGGAAUAUUGGUCAAUGGGCGGAAGCCUGAACCAGCCAAGUCGCGUGAAGGAUGAAGGUAUUAUGUAUUGUAAACUUCUUUAGCUGUGGAGAAAUAAGGGGCAUGCAUGCCCUGAUGCUAGUACACAGAGAAUAAGGAUCGGCUAACUCCGUGCCAGCAGCCGCGGUAAUACGGAGGAUCCGAGCGUUAUCCGGAUUCAUUGGGUUUAAAGGGUGCGCAGGCGGCUUCUUAAGUCAGCGGUAAAAUCGCGGGGCUCAACCCCGUCCCGCCGUUGAUACUGGGGAGCUUGAUUACGGUCGAGGCAGGCGGAAUUCGUCGUGUAGCGGUGAAAUGCAUAGAUAUGACGAAGAACACCGAUUGCGUAGGCAGCCUACCAGGCCGUUAAUGACGCUCAUGCACGAAAGUGCGGGGAUCGAACAGGAUUAGAUACCCUGGUAGUCCGCACAGUAAACGAUGAAUACUUGCUUUCGGCGAUAGAUGGUCGGAGGCAAAGCGAAAGCGAUAAGUAUUCCACCAGGGGAGUACGCCGGCAACGGUGAAACUCAAAGGAAUUGACGG
rnacentral:rRNA from 1 species